GCCCGGCUGGCUAAGUAGGUGGAGCAUUUGACUCUUGAUCUUGGGGUGUGAGUUUGAGCCCCAUGUUGGGUG
rnacentral:tRNA from 1 species